AAAAAAAAAAGGGGGGGUGGCUAUGUAGACGGCAGUGACAGCAGCAAUGGAAUAUUGCUUACAUUCAGGGAUAUUGAUCAAAAGUAAAUAUAUUUGUUAUAAUGGGAGCCAUGUUUCUCACUGCCCUAGAAGGGGUUAUAAACAUGAAGAGAGAAAAUUAGAAUGAACUUUGUAGUGUUGGUUUGGAACUGGAGUUACUGGUAUAAACUCAUAUAGUUUUCAAGAUAGAGAAAUAAUAAUAGAUGAAAAUGUGUGUUUUUGUGCACACAUGUGAGAAGACGGGAUCAGUGACACUCCAAUGAGCAUACCUGGCACCUAGAUCUCGGUUUCUAAAUAUAUUCUUCACUAAAAGAAACCAGGACUUCUUGGAGAAAUGGCUGUGGCAGAGAAAGUACAAGAUGAUACUGUAACAUCUUACUCCAGAAGCAUGCUAGAAAGCAAAGAGAAGACAUGAGGUAGCAGGAAGGAAUGAAAGAGUGAAGAUAAUGAAGGUGAAGCUCUGCUACUUGUCCUUUUUACUUUGGAUUGAAAAAUGUCUUUGUGCAGGUUACUAGGGGCUUCUGGGGGCAGUGACCUAAUCCAGUUGAUGACUCCAACCUUGAGGCUUCCAGGUUGCAGAUGCACAUGAUAGCCUCCAAAUUACAGUGAUUGUUUUUGGUAAGAUGGAAGGCACCUAGGUCCAGGAGACAUAAUAAGGUUCUCAAGAGCUGGAGAAGACUCAGGCUCCUAGAACAGUGUUAUCCUAAGUCCAGGAGGAAGCUUUCAAAACAGGAGCCCAGCCAAUCGCAAACCUUUCUCUGGACAGACUCUCCUCAGCCCCAGACCCGGCUACUAAGAAAGGGCAAGAAGGAGAAGGGAAAUGACAACUCACCAGGAGAAACAGAGGGCUGAUGGCUACCCAGCAGAUCCUCCAAAACCAUCCAGGGCUGAAGCCAAGCAUUUCCUUCACAUCACUGCAGAACUGAUUGAUGCCUAAAAUCAUCCAAAAGAGAACGAGAUUGACUGACUGAGAGAGGAACUAGACUGUCCUCCUAUCCCUUGACUCUCUAACAGCUCUGGAGUUUCUCCAAAGGAGGGGCUUGGGGGCACCAGUCUGGUCUGAAAGUGAGAUGGGGGACUUGUCACAAAAAUGCACGUUACAGUAAGCAAAGCUCUUUCUACACGGAGUGGGAGGAUUGGUGGACAUCUGGGGAGGGACCUAAAGCCCCCUCUUCGUGCCCACACUGCCUUUCUAGGAUUUCAGCAUAUAUCUGAUUUUAUCGUUACUGUAGAAAAGGAAGUGGAAUUUUGUCUAAAAACGGUGAAACCACUUGACAGAGACCGACUCUGACCAUAUGCUGGAAGCUUUGAAGAGAAAAUUUUAACCACACUGUUGCGCAUUCAUAUGUCAGAUCAAGAUCAAGGUUCUUCUCUACACAGUAACUGGCAUGGAAGUGAGGACUGGGGGAGAAAUCGAAAAGGGGAAGGAAGGGUGCUCUGCAGUUGCUUCCCUGAAAGUGCCCAGCAGGUCUGUAACAUCACACACCUUGCACUUGGUCCUCCGAAGUGCUGAGGAGGUGGGGAGGACUUCUUUCAAAAAAAAAAAAAAAAAGGGCUUACAUGCAACUCAAAAUGUGGGCCCCCCCUUCUUUAUAUUACGUGUAAUGACACACAUGCUAAAGCUGUUCUGCUAUCAUAGAAACUAGGAAAAUAUUUUCAGAAUGAAAUCAUCACAUCUUGAUUUUAAAGAUGAAGAAAGGCAUCUCUGAACUUGGUUUUCUUCAUUUCCAUUGCCUGUGCCCUCCUCGUCCUCGCCCAGGGGCUCUUGGGAUCCCUGCCCAUGAACCUGUGUCAGCUCUCUCUCUGCUCCUGGUGGUUUCACCCUUAUCAGAUUCCAUCCCACGAUUGGGGGGCCGGGGGUGGGGGCGGUGUAAAUUGGAGGCUUUACCAAGACAGAUAAUCCAAACAGGAACAUUCUUGCCUCUUCCCUAGAAGAUAAGCUCCUAAACUCUGUCUCAGGGCUCUGGAGGGAGUGCUCGUUUGUGAAAUUUAACGUGGGGCCACUCUAUGUAACGGCAGAAUAUUGUACACUCUGCAAAUGCAUUCACUGUGCACUAGUUCUUUGUUGUCUGUCCAAUUCUUAGAGCCUGUCGGGAUCUUAAGCAACCACUGUGGAUGAGCUAUAGGGAACCACUUCAGCCCUAUCUCCACUGGGUAAACACAUAAACUCAGAAGAAAAAAUCAUCCUCCCAGGAGUGCAGGCAAUCUGUUGCACAUUGUGGAGGAAGUGAUGACAUGUUUUUGAAGAAGGGAUGCAGCAGGUGACGUCUUGUACACUGGCUGCUUUUUCCUGACGACAUCAGCCCUUCUGUAUUCUGGUGGCUAUAUGGGCUGGUGUAGGAAGGAUCGUGGCUAGUGGAAGGGAGCAUCUUACCAUAGAACCAAUACACAGCAAUUGCUUCUAUCAGGGCAACAGUGAGCACUGCGGGUCCCGUGGCAAACUCCUCCAGCAGCUUCACCACGUAGGCCCCUCCCUGGAAAUGAGACCACAAACCCGGUUAAAGGCCCUCUGAGGCACUGCCUCCUCUUUACGACAGGAGCAAAAAGAACUUCUUAGGAUAAUUCUGGAAAAUUCUCUCCUUGGGUAUAACAUAAGUGUCCCAGAGCCUACUUCUUGGACUGGCCCUGGCAGAUGGGCAAGAUUUCAUCCCAUCAGACACACCUCUUCCCGCCCUACAGGUCACUCUUGUUUCCACUCCCCACUAAGCUUUAAGACAAACUCAAAAACGCCUCUGGAUCUGUUUUCAACUUUCAACUUUACUGAAUACCUACUGUGUAUUCUACCCCAGAAAAUCUACAAUACCAGACACACCGGGCCCAGUGGUCAUGGUUUUGCCUCUGUCCUAACUCACAAAUCCCUUGGGUCCUACUCAGGGCCCCACAACCCUGCUGAAGCUCCAGAGCCAUUGGGGUCAUGGCUUGAAGAUUUUAUUUUAUCAAAAUCUGCCUUGAGUCAGAAGGAUACACGCCUGCAAUGCCUGUGGGUACUAUCUGAUGCCUGAUUUACAGUUUGACAGUAUGUGCCUAAGCUACCCCCCCCCCAAAAAUAAAAUCACUAGAGAAGGUCUAACUUCUUUACCAUUACAAAUUCUCUGGAGGAGAUGAAAUGACAUUACAAACAUGAGAUGGCAGCCUCCAGAUGUUCAGCAUAUCAGGACAUCAGGGCACUAUUCCUAUGAAAGCAGCCCUAAGGACUGGAAAUAUACUGAAAAGACACAUCUUAGUUUUCCUCCAGAUAGUCUGUCAAGCCUUAAAUCUAGUUGGAUUUGCUGUAAAAUGCUGAGCCUCCAGAUACCACGCCCAGAUUCUUCAGACAGAUGCCACUAGAAACAACUUUUCUUCCUCUUCUUGAUGACUAACUUUCUAACAGCGGUGACAACUUCUCUCCCUUUGGCCCCAAAGCCAGGGCACCGUGUGGGAGGGAAAGGAACAGCUUCUUGUAACAUUCUGUUGCCCUAGGGGAGGUUGACUCUAAGUUUAGGGUUUUGGUACUCACAAAAGUCAGGGUGAU